rnacentral:rRNA from 1 species
CGCGUUGUAAUUUGUAGAGGAUGCUUCGGGCGCGGUGCCGGUCUAAGUUCUUUGGAACAAGACGUCAUAGAGGGUGAGAAUCCCGUAUGUGACUGGUUGCCUGUGCCCAUGUGUAGCUCCUUCGACGAGUCGAGUUGUUUGGGAAUGCAGCUCAAAAUGGGAGGUGUAUUUCUUCUAAAGCUAAAUAUUGGCCAGAGACCGAUAGCGCACAAGUAGAGUGAUCGAAAGAUGAAAAGCACUUUGGAAAGAGAGUUAAACAGUACGUGAAAUUGUUGAAAGGGAAGCGCUUGCAAUCAGACUUGCGCGGCGUUGUUCCGCCGGGGUUCUCUCCGGUGUACUCGGCGCCGCUCAGGCCAGCAUCAGUUUCGGCGGUGGGAUAAAGGCUCAGGGAACGUGGGUUGCUUCGGCAACCGUUAUAGCCCUGGGUGCAAUGCCGCCUGCUGGGACUGAGGACCGCGCUUCGGCUAGGAUGCUGGCGUAAUGGUUGUAAGCGGCCCGUCUUGAAACACGGACCAAGGAGUCUAACAUUUAUGCGAGUGUUUGGGUGUCAAACCCAUACGCGUAAUGAAAGUGAACGGAGGUAAGAACCCUUAAGGGUGCAUUAUCGACCGAUCCUGAUGUCUUCGGAUGGAUUUGAGUAAGAGCAUAACUGUUGGGACCCGAAAGGUACGUUAUAUCCCCCUUUCCCCUUAUCUUUUAGAAUACAAAACUAACUUUUUAAUGCAGAUGGUGAACUAUGCCUGAAUAGGGUGAAGCCAGGGGAAACCCUGGUGGAGGCUCGCAGCGGUUCUGACGUGCAAAUCGAUCGUCAAAUUUGGGUAUAGGGGCGAAAGACUAAUCGAACCAUUGGGAUACCUACCUUCUAGGUGGUUGAGAGGCCCCUUUUUUGAGGCCUAGUCGCUUCGGCGGCGAUACUGCAAAAUUGCGGGGACCGCUCGAUAGGCGCAGGCUACCACAGCGGGCUCGAAAGGGCCCGUCACGGUUACAAGGCCUGGCGUCUGAGCCGAUCCGCAACCUUCGCCUACCGCUGCCCCGACCCGGGGGUGGUCAUGGCGCGGGCUCAUCGACUAGAUGGCAGUGGGUGCGCAAACGCCUAAGGGAUAGUCAGGCUGCGGCAUGGCUGCCGCAGGCUACAACGCUAGUAGCUGGUUCACGCCGAAGUUUCCCUCAGGAUAGCAGUGUUGUAUUCAGUUUUAUGAGGUAAAGCGAAUGAUUAGAGGCCUUGGGGUUGAAACAACCUUAACCUAUUCUCAAACUUUAAAUAUGUAAGAAGUCCUUGUUGCUUAAUUGAACGUGGACAUUCGAAUGUACCAACACUAGUGGGCCAUUUUUGGUAAGCAGAACUGGCGAUGCGGGAUGAACCGAACGUGAAGUUAAGGUGCCGGAAUAUACGCUCAUCAGACACCACAAAAGGUGUUAGUUCAUCUAGACAGCAGGUACGUUUAUCUUUUGCAAAAUUCUCUCUCUUUUUUCUUUUUCAAAACUUUUACUAACUUUAUUUUUUCUAGGACGGUGGCCAUGGAAGUCGGAAUCCGCUAAGGAAUGUGUAACAACUCACCUGCCGAAUGAACUAGCCCUGAAAAUGGAUGGCGCUUAAGCGUAUUACCCAUACUUCACCGCC